rnacentral:pre_miRNA from 1 species
CGAAGGGGCCGGGGCCGUCGUCCGACGGCCCCGGCCCCUUCG